UACGAAGGGGGCUAGCGUUGCUCGGAAUUACUGGGCGUAAAGGGCGCGUAGGCGGCACUGUUAGUCAGGCGUGAAAGUCCUGGGCUCAACCUGGGAACUGCGCUUGAUACGGCAGAGCUAGAGGAUGGAAGAGGCUCGCGGAAUUCCCAGUGUAGAGGUGAAAUUCGUAGAUAUUGGGAAGAACACCGGUGGCGAAGGCGGCGAGCUGGUCCAUUACUGACGCUGAGGCGCGAAAGCCAGGGGAGCGAACGGG
rnacentral:rRNA from 1 species